rnacentral:rRNA from 1 species
GUGGGGAAUAUUGCACAAUGGGGGAAACCCUGAUGCAGCCAUGCCGCGUGUGUGAAGAAGGCCUUCGGGUUGUAAAGCACUUUCAGUCAGGAGGAAGGGGAGCAGACUAAUAUUCUGUUUCAUUGACGUUACUGACAGAAGAAGCACCGGCUAACUCCGUGCCAGCAGCCGCGGUAAUACGGAGGGUGCAAGCGUUAAUCGGAAUUACUGGGCGUAAAGCGCACGCAGGCGGUUGGAUAAGUUAGAUGUGAAAGCCCCGGGCUCAACCUGGGAACUGCAUUCGAAACUGGCAGGCUAGAGUCUUGUAGAGGGGGGUAGAAUUCCAGGUGUAGCGGUGAAAUGCGUAGAGAUCUGGAGGAAUACCGGUGGCGAAGGCGGCCCCCUGGACAAAGACUGACGCUCAGGUGCGAAAGCGUGGGGAGCAAACAGGAUUAGAUACCCGGGUAGUCC